AUUGAACGCUGGCGGCAUGCCUUACACAUGCAAGUCGAACGGCAGCACGGGGGCAACCCUGGUGGCGAGUGGCGAACGGGUGAGUAACAUAUCGGAACAUACCCUAGAGUGGGGGAUAACGUAGCGAAAGUUACGCUAAUACCGCAUACGAUCUAAGGAUGAAAGUGGGGAUCUUCGGACCUCAUGCUCAUGGAGUGGCCGAUAUCUGAUUAGCUAGUUGGUGAGGUAAAGGCUCACCAAGGCGACGAUCAGUAGCUGGUUUGAGAGAACGACCAGCCACACUGGAACUGAGACACGGUCCAGACUCCUACGGGAGGCAGCAGUGGGGAAUUUUGGACAAUGGGGGCAACCCUGAUCCAGCAAUGCCGCGUGAGUGAAGAAGGCCUUC
rnacentral:rRNA from 1 species